ensembl:snoRNA SNORD62 Small nucleolar RNA SNORD62
UUUCUGUGAUUUAUCAAUAGAUCGUGCCUACCCAUCACUGUGUACUCAACAGAAUAGAAACAAAAAGAAGCCGCCUAUGGCUGAGACA